rnacentral:tRNA from 1 species
GCGGGGGUACCCGAGCCAGGUUAAAGGGGCAGGGUUCAGGACCCUGUAGCGUAGGCUUUCGUGGGUUCAAAUCCCACCCCCCGCA